rnacentral:snoRNA from 1 species
UGAUGGCUGUUCUUCUCACUGCCUGGAGCCUUAGGUAGUGGGAUUUUAAUACAUCAUAUAUCUAAACUGACUUGUCUUCACUCAGGGCACUAUAGGGAUGAGUUGGUUAUGGGGUAGCACCUACUGAUUUUUGCAGAGUCAAAACAACU